ACACUGAUGGUGAAGUGGUUAUCAUGCUUGCCUUCCACGAGGGUUUACUAAGCACUUCAGCAAGCGGCAGGGGUUCGAUUCCCCUUCAGUGUA
rfam:Phlebia centrifuga strain FBCC195 PHLCENscaffold_601, whole genome shotgun sequence.